rnacentral:rRNA from 1 species
UACGGAGGGUGCAAGCGUUAUCCGGAUUCACUGGGUUUAAAGGGUGCGUAGGCGGGCAGGUAAGUCCGUGGUGAAAUCUCUGAGCUUAACUCAGAAACUGCCAUGGAUACUAUUUGUCUUGAAUAUUGUGGAGGCAAGCGGAAUAUGUCAUGUAGCGGUGAAAUGCUUAGAUAUGACAUAGAACACCCAUUGCGAAGGCAGCUUGCUACACAAUGAUUGACGCUGAGGCACGAAAGCGUGGGGAGUCAAACAGG